rnacentral:rRNA from 1 species
GUCCAGACUCCUACGGGAGGCAGCAGUGGGGAAUAUUGCACAAUGGGGGAAACCCUGAUGCAGCGACGCCGCGUGAGUGAAGAAGUAUUUCGGUAUGUAAGGCUCUAUCAGCAGGGAAGAAAAUGACGGUACCUGACUAAGAAGCCCCGGCUAACUACGUGCCAGCAGCCGCGGUAAUACGUAGGGGGCAAGCGUUAUCCGGAUUUACUGGGUGUAAAGGGAGCGUAGACGGCAUGGCAAGUCAGAUGUGAAAGCCCGGGGCUCAACCCCGGGACUGCAUUUGAAACUGUCAGGCUGGAGUGCAGGAGAGGUAAGUGGAAUUCCUAGUGUAGCGGUGAAAUGCGUAGAUAUUAGGAGGAACACCAGUGGCGAAGGCGGCUUACUGGACUGUAACUGACGUUGAGGCUCGAAAGCGUGGGGAGCAAACAGGAUUAGAUACCCCAGUA